rnacentral:rRNA from 2 species
UCCAGCAAUGCCGCGUGUGUGAAGAAGGCCUCUCGGGUUGUAAAGCACUUUUGUCCGGAAAGAAAUCCUUGGCUCUAAUACAGUCGGGGGAUGACGGUACCGGAAGAAUAAGCACCGGCUAACUACGUGCCAGCAGCCGCGGUAAUACGUAGGGUGCGAGCGUUAAUCGGAAUUACUGGGCGUAAAGCGUGCGCAGGCGGUUUGCUAAGACCGAUGUGAAAUCCCCGGGCUCAACCUGGGAACUGCAUUGGUGACUGGCAGGCUAGAGUAUGGCAGAGGGGGGUAGAAUUCCACGUGUAGCAGUGAAAUGCGUAGAGAUGUGGAGGAAUACCGAUGGCGAAGGCAGCCCCCUGGGCCAAUACUGACGCUCAUGCACGAAAGCGUGGGGAGCAAACAGGAUUAGAUACCCUGGUAGUCCACGCCCUAAACGAUGUCAACUAGUUGUUGGGGAUUCAUUUCCUUAGUAACGUAGCUAACGCGUGAAGUUGACCGCCUGGGGAGUACGGUCGCAAGAUUAAAACUCAAAGGAAUUGACGGGGACCCGCACAAGCGGUGGAUGAUGUGGAUUAAUUCGAUGCAACGCGAAAAACCUUACCUACCCUUGACAUGGUCGGAAUCCUGC